rnacentral:rRNA from 1 species
CCUACGGGAGGCAGCAGUGAGGAAUAUUGGACAAUGGGCGCAAGCCUGAUCCAGCCAUGCCGCGUGCAGGAUGACGGUCCUAUGGAUUGUAAACUGCCUUUGCACAGGAAGAAACAACGCUACGUGUGCGUCUUGACGUACUGUGAGAAUAAGGUCG